GACGAACGCUGGCGGCGCGCCUAAUACAUGCCAGUAGAACGCUGAGGAGAGGAGCUUGCUCUUCUUGGAUGAGUUGCGAACGGGUGAGUAACGCGUAGGUAACCUGCCUUGUAGCGGGGGAUAACUAUUGGAAACGAUAGCUAAUACCGCAUAACAAUGGAUGACACAUGUCAUUUCUUUGAAAGGGGCAAUUGCUCCACUACAAGAUGGACCUGCGUUGUAUUAGCCAGUAUGUGAGGUAAUGGCUCACCCAGGCGACGAUACAUAGCCGACCUGAGAGGGUGAUCGGCCACACUGGGACUGAGACACGGCCCAGACUCCCACGGGAGGCAGCAGUAGGGAAUCUUCGGCAAUGGGGGCAACCCUGACCGAGCAACGCCGCGGGAGUGAAGAAGGGUUUCGGAUCGGAAAGUUCUGUUGUAAGUCAAGAACGGGUGUGAGAGUGGAAAGUUCACACUGUGACGGUAGCUUACCAGAAAGGGACGGCUAACUACGUG
rnacentral:rRNA from 1 species